rnacentral:rRNA from 1 species
UUGCCAGCAUUCAGUUGGCACUCUAAGGUGACUGCCGGCUAAAAGUCGGAGGAAGGUGGGGAUGACGUCAAAUCAUCAUGCCCCUUAUGACCUGGGCUACACACGUGCUACAAUGGGCGGUACAAAGGGUCGCGAACCCGCGAGGGGGAGCCAAUCCCAAAAAGCCGCUCUCAGUUCGGAUUGCAGGCUGCAACUCGCCUGCAUGAAGCCGGAAUCGCUAGUAAUCGCGGAUCAGCAUGCCCGCGGUCGAAUACGUUCCCGGGCCUU